UACGUAGGGUGCGAGCGUUAAUCGGAAUUACUGGGCGUAAAGCGUGCGUAGGCGGUUCGUUAAGUUCGUCGUGAAAGCCCCGGGCUCAACCUGGGAAUGGCGAUGGAAACUGGCGGGCUGGAGUAUGGCAGAGGGGGGUGGAAUUCCGCGUGUAGCAGUGAAAUGCGUAGAGAUGUGGAGGAACACCGAUGGCGAAGGCAGCCCCCUGGGUCAAGAUUGACGCUCAUGCACGAAAGCGUGGGGAGCAAACAGG
rnacentral:rRNA from 1 species